AUCAGUUAAGGCUGUUUUUACUUCUUUUGUGGAUCUUCAUUUACUUCAGGCCAUCUGGAUGUAUACGUGCAAGUCACAGGGGAUGCCAUGGCCUGGCCUCGGCUCAGAGGCCUGACAAACUCCCCUUCAUAUAUACAUCUAUCCUAAUAGUUCUGUCCCUCUAGGGAACCCUGACUAAUACAUAAUCUAAGCAAGAAAUAAAACUUUAUUGUUUUAAACCACUAAGAUUGGGGGAUUGUUUGUUACCAAAACAUAAUUUGGAGAAAGCUAGCUGAUACAUAGACACUCAGACAUAAAAUGCACAAGGCAACAAUAGUAUAACAUAGAAAUAAGCCAACAAACAAAAACCAAUGAAAUGAAAGCGUCAGACUAAAUAAUUUCUUGAAUCUCCUUCCAGCUCUGAAUGAAAUAGGCAUGACACAUUGAAAGGCCCAUAGUGGCCAGGUAGGCAAGAUUAAUAUAUGAAGCAUCCCUGAAACAAGUGCUGAAAAGUAUAAUACCUGCCUAAUUACACUGUAUUUAAAAAUACUUCUGGAGCAAGCAAAGUACAUAUGUCAACUGUACAUUGCACCUCCUGCCUAAACUCUUUGUAGCUAUGUCUUUGAUCAAUACCAGGUCUCAAAUCAGGAGCACUUAGAUGGAAGAAACCCUGAGAAAGCUGGAGGCAGUUUUGAAAUGGGUCCAGAUAACCUCUUAAGGUGAUUCUCCUGCUGGUCAAACAUGUUGGGUGAGUUUGCACCAUUGUUUAGAGCACAGGCUUUGGAGUUAGACCUAGUUUGGGUUCUUAGCUCCAGUUACUAGCUCCAUGAUCUCUAGCAAAUGGCUUUUAAUCUCUGUAAGCUUUAGUUACAUUUUUGGAAAAUGAGAUAAUAAUAGAAUCUACCUCAUGGAUUUGUUGGGAGUGAAUGAAGUAAUGCGCUUAGUAUAAUCCUUGAUAAAUGUGAGCUGUUGCCAGUAUUACUGUUAUUAUUUUCUCUUGGUUAUGAAGUAAUCCUUGGAGCUGAUGCCCUCUUGCAAAUAUAGUUUAAAAUCAAUGCAGAGGCUAUAAGUCUUUAAAAAUACGUUUUUUUUUUUGUUUUUUUUUUUUUUUUUUUUAGACAGGAUAUUGCUCUGCUGCCCAGGCUGGAGUGCAGUGGCACAAUCAUGUCUUGCUGCAGCCUGGACCUCCGGGGCUCAAGCAUUCCUUCCACCUUAGUCUCUCAAGUAACUGGGACUACUGACAUGCACCACCAUGCCCAGCUAAUUUUUUUAAACUUUUUGUAGAGACAGAGUCUCACUAUGUUGCCUAAGCUAGUCUCGGAAACCUGGACACAAUCUGUGGCCAAAGGCCUGAGAGGCCCUGGCAAAUCACUGGCGAAUGAUUCUAAAUACUACAGAAUUUAAACAUGCCACCCUUCUGCCACUCUUUGCCUGAGCUUUGCAACGCAGAGUAAUGCCAAUCCAGGAGUCCAAAAGCUGAGGAACUUGGAGUCUGAUGUUCGAGGGCAGGAAGCCUCCAGCACAGGAGAAAGAUGAAGGCCGGAAGACUCAGUGAGUCUACUCAUUUCACUUUUUUCUGCCUGCUUUAUUCUAGCCAUGCUGGCAGCUGAUUAGAUGCUCCCCACCCAGGUCGAGGGUGGGUGUAUCUCUCCCAGUCCACUGACUCAAAUGUUAAUCUCCUUUGGCAACACCCUCAUGGACACACCCAGGAACAAUACACAAACUAUCCUCCCACCUUGGUUUCCCAAAGUGCUGGGAUUACAGGCAUGCAUGAGCCAAUAUACCUGGCCUAAAAUACGUUUUUAAAAGAAAAUCACUAAUCUGGUUUUAGCCCUGAGUUAUCCAAAUGAUCAAAUUCCUGUGCCCUUCUUCAAGUUUUUCUUAAAAGGUAAAAAAAAGUCUUUAAAGAAGAAAAAGUUACCAGAUUUGUAAACCAGUUUUCCAAUUACUGAGCUUCUGCAAAGAAAGAUGCCAUAAUUGCUCAAGGUGAAAGAAAAAGAAAGAGAUAUCAUAAAUUAUCAUGAAGAUCGAUGGUAGAAGCUUUCUGAAGACCCAAAGAGCACUGUGCCCUGUCUUACCUGUCAGACAUGAGAGAAUAAAACUGCUCACUCACCAGAAGAUACUUGUAUGCAACCAUCCUUCAGCUGGAUUUUUUUCUUCCCUACUUUCUUGGACACACACACAUGCACACACACACCAAAAAAUAACUUUAUCAUAAAGCUCCAACUAAGUAAGGGAUAAAGAUGAGUUGAAAGACAGAGAGUGGUUGGUAUGCAACAAGAUCAAAAAAAAAAAGAGAGAGAGAAAGAGAAAAAGAAGAAAAAUCUGAGAGUGGGAGUUGCCCCACUGGCUGUCAGUGGCAAGAAAAAGCACUGUGAAUCAAAAUGAAACAAGAAAGAUAAUAGAGGUAUGGUUAUCUCAAAUUGGUGCACUUUGAUUCAUUGUUAUUUUCCACAACCUAUCUUUGAUUACAGACUCUAUCUUUAGAAGGCAAACUUGGACAAGGCAAAGGUAAAAUGCUUAUGAACAAUUGGCCCAACACUGACUCUAAGAAUAUCUUUUGGCUGCUUAGGUAAUUUUCUUGAUUGACUGAAUCUCACUAUCCUGGGGGCUAGUAAAGCACCUGGAUAUUUUGUCCUUUGAGCCAUCAAUGAGAAUUUCUCCUGCAGCAGCCUUCUAGAACUAAGUUGCUGAUUUUUUAACUCCCUUCACUGGUUUCACGUGGGGGAAAAAAAAUAAAAAGCCUUUUCAACUGGGUUAAUGUUUGACUUGUUUUGCUUUUCAUAUACUGUUCACAGUAUGUGAUAAUAUUUUUAUUCACUCAGUAAACAUUUACUGGGCAUAUCUCUAGGCCAGGUAUUCCUGAGGACAGAGCAAUAAAAUAGAUGCAGCCUCUGCUUUCAUUAAGUUUUUGACCUAUCAGGGAAAAGGACUAAUAGGCUAUUGUGAUAAGACUGUGAGGAAGCUUGUGUUAACAACAAUAAACAUUAAUUGAAUGAUUACUAGGAGCCAGGUACAAAGUACAUUUCAUGCAUUAACUCACUGAAUCCCUAUGACAAUUAGAUAAGGUUGGUAAUAUUCUUAUCUCCAUUUAAAAGAUGAGAAAACUGAGGCAGAGAGCAAAUAUACAACUUGCCCAAGGUCACCAACUUGUUGGUAGCUGGGCUAUGAACCUAGGCAGUAUGGCUUUAGAUAUGGCACUUUUAGCCAUUAUACUAUAAUUUAAAAAGCUCCAGGUACCCAGGGUUGGGGAAGCGUGUUCUCUAAUCUGGUCCAGGUGGUAACUUUGCUGAGUCCGGCAGAUCAAACAGGAUUUAGCUUGGGAAGUGUGGUUGUAUCUAGUGUAAAUGCUUUCAGCUGCAAGUAACAGAAACCCAGCCAACAGUGACAUAAACAAAGAGAGGAUUGUUUUUCUACGUAACAAAAUGUCUGGCAGUAAGUGGUUUCUAGCAUUGGUCCAGGGGAUCUAGGAAGUCAGACUUCUGGUCAACAUCACUUUCCUUUCUCUUAUUGGUCUGUGACAGGUGCAGGUCUCGUAAUCAAUUUCUAGGGGAGAAAGUGAGGGGAGUAUGGGGCUGAAAGUUUUUGCUUACAUAUCUUCUUCUUGUAAAGAAGGAGAAAUCUCUCAAGAUGUCACGAAACAACUUCCUUUAAAAAAUCAUGAGCUAGAACUGGACUAUAUGUCACUUCUAGACCAGGGUCUGCACCUACUUUCCUUGGGACUAAGAGAUUUCCAGGAUUCUGUUGGCAAAUAGAAAGGAAAGACUGAAUUUUGAGUAGGCUUGUUGCCUACAAUGCCUGCCAGAAAAGAGAAUCAUGUUCUAGGAAGAGGGAAUCACACAUGCAAAAGCUUGGCAGAAAACCAGAGCAUGACAAAAUUAAGAGUGGAAAGAUGCUGAGUAUGGCUGGAGACUAGCUUGACAGAUGGCAAUAGAUGAGGCUGGAAGGGGUUGGAGAUCCCAGAGCAUGAAAAGCUGUGCCUAAGGAGUUUAUACUGUGUUCUAAAGACAAAGGGAAAUCAAUAAAGGAUUUUAGAUAUGGUAAUGACCUGAGGUGACUUGUUUAGAAGGCUCAUUCUGGCAGCUCUGUGAAGAACAUUUGAAGGGUACUAGGAAGAUGAGAGGGAAGAAAGUCAUUGAGAAGAUGCUGCAGAGGUACAGGUACAGGAUGCUGGUGUCUUGAGCUCUUAUAGUGGCAUGGUGAUGGAAAGGGGUAGAUCACCAUUUUUAGGAGGUAGAAUCAAAGACUCAAUGAUUGGGUUUGGGAGCGAGGCCCUAGCAGCCUGAUGAAAAUUACUGAUGAAUACUGUCUGCAUUUCCAUUAGUAAAAACAGUAUCAUCAAAAGGCGUGGUUGCUGAAACCACCAAGGGGCAAGUUAAGUGGCAACUACUAUGGAAGAAAAUCCAUACAGUGUAUUCUUUUUCUUUUCUUUUUUUUUCUUUCCUUUUUUUUUUUUUUUUUUUUUUUGAGACAGGGUCUCACUCUGUUACCCAGGCUGGAGUGCAAUGGCACAAUCUCGGCUCACUGCAACCUCUGCCUCCCAGGCUCCCACCUCAGCUGGGACUACAGGUGUGUGCCACUACACUGGCUAAUUUUUUGUAGAGACGGGGUCUCACUUGGUUUCCCAGGCUUGUCUAGAAACUUUGGGCUCAAGUGAUCCUCCCCCCUUGGCCUCCUAAAGUACGGGGAUUACAGGAGUGAGCCACCACACCUGGCCCAUUCAUUUUUUAACUUGAAUAUUAUUUCUGUUAUACACAUACAUAUGUCACAUCGAAUCGUUUCACAAUGCUUGCAAUGAGAAACCACUGUCAAAUUAUGAUCACACCACUGCACUCCAGCCUGGACAACAGGGCAAGACUCUGCCUCAAAAUAAAUAAAUAAAUAAAUAAAUAAAUAAAAAGGCACUGUCCUUUGCCCCAGUUUACUCCACUAACAAUUACGACUCCAUAGAAGCAUCUACUGAAUAUUUCGGCUGUUUCUUCUGAUGCUUUUCUCCACGCUUCUAAUUAACAUGAUUGUUCUGCUAUUUCUUGACUUCUAACUACGGAAAGUAGGAUUUGGGUUUCUUCCAUUUCACCACCUACCCCUCCAUCAUACAUGUACACACAAGCCCUCUCCUCUGAGCCUUCCAAUGUCCUUAUCUAUCAUAAAUUGGAGUUAAAACAAUAUCAAUUGUUUGCUUUAUUAUGACCAUGUGACUGUUAUUCAUAGAUGAGACAUUCAAAACAUUAUGAUUUCAUUCUCAUUCUUGUACAACGUUUUGGAUAACAAAUUGCCUUGCUUUCUAUGAAUCUAAAAGUAAAUCAUUUCUUAAUCUUCACUAGAAAUGUAAAUAUUCUUGUCAAUAUAUUGAAACAUAUUAGCUUAUCUAACGAUACCACUUUUUUUCUUGAAGAUCUCCAUCUGCAAGCCUCCAACUCCUCUGCUCCAAUGUGAACUCAUUAUUCUCUAGGCCUGUGUAUCAGCUAUUUCAGUAAAACAAACUACCCUAGGAUUUAGCAGUAAAAAACAACAAUCAGUUAUUUAUUCAGUUCAUUUAUUUAGUUCACAAUUCUUCAGGUUGGCAAUUGGGACUGAGCACAACUGAAUGGUCCUCCUGGUCUUGGCAGGACUCCUUCAGACAUCUGCAGUUAAUUGCAGCUUAGUUAAGUAGCUGUGCUUGGGGCAGGAGGUUGGUGGGUGGCUAUUGGAUAGUAUGAUUUCUUAUCCUUCUAGCAGGUUAGCCCAGGCUCAGUGGUGGAGGCAAGGAUCUGAGAGAAAGGAAAUAUGUAAAGCCUGUUGAGGCCAGGAUUAGAAUGGUUCACUGUGACUUCUAUCACUUUGUACUGGCUAAACGAGUCACAAGGCCAGCCAAGAUUCAAGAGGUACAAAAAUAGACUCCAUGUCUUGAUGGAAGAAUCUGAAAAGUCACUUUACAAAUAAUAUAGAUACAGGAAGGUCACCAACUGGGGCUAUCAAUUUAAGCAAUCUACUAGUCUGGUACAUAAUUAUUGUCCCAGGAUGUCCUUCCACCCUCACCCUUUGAGUUCUUGUUUUCAUCUUGUAUUGGAUCUCCUGUAUAUCAGUCAGGCUUCAGAAAUGAUGCCAGUUAUUUUAACAGACCAGAGGGUGAGAGGUGGCUUAGCUGGUGCUGGUAUCUCUGAGGGGCAUAGGAGGCUGAUCUUGAAAGUGUUGGGAAAACUGUCAACUGGAUUAACAGUUGCUACAAGAAGGAACUUUUGCUGCCAGGGGGAAGAAGUGUUGCCAGUGUGAUGCUCUCAGGAACUGCAAGAGAACAGCAAGCAAACAGUAAGGAAUAAGUCCCUUCUUCCUUCCCCAGUCCUCCAGUCUCCCUCUAGCAACCCUGCUCCCCCACUAGCAGAGAUUAACAGGGAGUCAGCUGGCCAAGGUGAAGAGUGAUUUUUGGAGUCUGAGCCCCAGAAUCAUGUAGCAGAGUAUGGAAUUGUGGGUUUGCAGCUGCAAGACAAGAUAACAGGCACACUCUGUUUUCUGGUUUCUAUGUCUUCCUAAUUUUUGUCCCUUCAGUAACUUCCUAAGGAAGGAUCCAUGUAAGAUAGACUGUUUCAGAUCUUUAAUAUCUGAAAU
rnacentral:lncRNA from 10 species